AUUUGUGGGAUUUGUGUCCCGGCGGUAAAGGCCACGGGAGAAACCAGGACGGAGAGUCCCAGGUGCCCGGCCAUCGAAGCAGAAGCGGAGACGCUGGAGGAAGGACACGCGGAAACCAUUCGCCCGGUGGGACGUUCACCCUGUUUGCAGGCUCAUCGCCGCAGCUGGGGUGUUGGGGCUCCGAGGGCUGAUGUGCGCCCCACGGAGCCGCCAGGAGCCGGGCACGCUUAGCGCCCGUCUGCUGGUGGCCGUGCGCAAGUCUGCCCUUCGAUCCUUGGCGCCCGUUGGUGGAGCCACACCAUCUUCCGUGUCCACACGAAUCCACCUGCGGCCGAGGGGGUCCUGACAGCUCUGGCGGAUGGCCUUGGGCACUUUGUCAUCCCGACUGGGCCGUGACUCUGUCCUAGGCAGAUCCCGUUCCACCGGCUUGUGUCGACGGAUGCCGUUUUGGGGCGUCGCUGGGGUCCCUCUUGCCAGGCCUCAGUUCCCUCGCCUGCCGUCCGGGCUCAUCCCAGAGCUGAGGUCGGGGCCACUCUGCACGCCAUAGCCUGGUCUCCUCAACGGUGCAGCGCACGGGGAAAUCAGGGGAGCCGGGGACCCUGGCCUGGGGUAAAAACGCCCCAGUGCAACGCGCAGGCCUCCAUUGGAUCCUGGUCCAUUUUGGGGUCCUCUGGGGAGAUCCGAACACAGACCAGGGAGCAGACGAUUAGGGAAUUACUGUUCCUUUUGCUAGGUGAGCUAACAGCAUCGUGAUCGCAGGGACCAAUGUCUUUCCGUUUUCAGAGAUGCCGCUGUGAUAUUUAGGACGGAAGUACGUGCAUGUCCGCACGAUGCUAGUGGGUUCCACAACGUCUGUGACUAUCGGCUGCGCAGAAAAAUUGGC